GACGUAGGGUGCGAGCGUUGUCCGGAUUUAUUGGGCGUAAAGAGCUCGUAGGCGGCUCGUCGCGUCGACCGUGAAAACCCGCGGCUUAACUGCGGGCUUGCGGUUGAUACGGGCGGGCUAGAGUUCGGUAGGGGAGACUGGAAUUCCUGGUGUAGCGGUGAAAUGCGCAGAUAUCAGGAAGAACACCCGUGGCGAAGGCGGCUCUCUGGGACGGUACUGACGCUGAGACGCGAAAGCGUGGGGAGCGAACAGG
rnacentral:rRNA from 1 species